rnacentral:rRNA from 1 species
AACGCGAAGAACCUUACCUACUCUUGACAUCCAAAGAAGAUUGCAGAGAUGCGAUUGUGCCGAAAGGAACUUUGAGACAGGUGCUGCAUGGCUGUCGUCAGCUCGUGUUGUGAGAUGUUGGGUUAAGUCCCGUAACGAGCGCAACCCUUAUCCUUAGUUGCCAACACGUGAUGGUGGGGACUCUAAGGAGACUGCCGGUGAUGAACCGGAGGAAGGCGGGGACGACGUCAAGUCAUCAUGGCCUUUAUGAGUAGGGCUACACACGUGCUACAAUGGACGGUACAGAGGGCAGCGAAAGCGCGAGCUGAAGCCAAUCCCAGAAAGCCGUUCGUAGUCCGGAUCGGAGUCUGCAACUCGACUCCGUGAAGUCGGAAUCGCUAGUAAUCGCGAAUCAGAAUGUCGCGGUGAAUACGUUCCCGGGCCUUGUACACACCGACAUA